GAUGAACGCUGGCGGCGUGCCUAAUACAUGCAAGUCGAGCGAACGGACGAGAAGCUUGCUUUUCUGAUGUUAGCGGCGGACGGGUGAGUAACACGUGGAUAACCUACCUAUAAGACUGGGAUAACUUCGGGAAACCGGAGCUAAUACCGGAUAAUAUUUUGAACCGCAUGGUUCAAAAGUGAAAGACGGUCUUGCUGUCACUUAUAGAUGGAUCCGCGCUGCAUUGGCUAGUUGGUAAGGUAACGGCUUACCAAGGCAACGAUGCAUAGCCGACCUGAGAGGGUGAUCGGCCACACUGGAACUGAGACACGGUCCAGACUCCUACGGGAGGCAGCAGUAGGGAAUCUUCCGCAAUGGGCGAAAGCCUGACGGAGCAACGCCGCAUGAGUGAUGAAGGUCUUCGGAUCGUAAAACUCUGUUAUUAGGGAAGAACAUAUGUGUAAGUAACUGUGCACAUCUUGACGGUACCUAAUCAGAAAGCCACGGCUAACUACGUG
rnacentral:rRNA from 1 species